rnacentral:sRNA from 1 species
AAAGAUCUUCAUGACCCAGUUAAGCACGAUGGUGUGAUCGUUCACCUGAGGACCCGAUGUCCUGGAAUGUGAAGUCUAGUGGGACUUAGGAAGCAUAACGACAAACAAAGCUUGUGGAGGUGAUGGAAUUCAGUUGAGAUAUUUCAAAUUCUAAAAGAUGAUGAUAUGAAUGUGCUGCCCUCCAUAUGCCAGCAAAUUUGGGAGACUCAGCAGUGGCCAGAGGACUGGAAAUGGUCAGUUUUCAUUCCAACCACAAAGAAAGGCAAUCCAAAGAAUGUCCAAACUACCACUUAAUUGCACAUGUCUGACACACUUGCCCAGAACUGCUCAGAAUUCCCCAAGCCAGGCUUCAACAGAAUGUGAACCAUGAGCUCCCAGAUGUUCAAGCUGGAUUUAUAAAGGGCAGAGGAACCCGAGAUUCAAUUGUCAACACCCGUUGGGUCCUCCAAAAGGCAAGAGAACUCCAGGAAAGCAGCUACUCUUAUUUGACUAUGCCAAAGACUUUGACUGACACAACAAAACGACACACACACAAAAAGUCACAUCAAAACGUGGAAUAUUCUUCCAAACAUCGGAAUACAUGCCUCCUGAGAAUUCUUACAUCCAUGUAAAUAAAAUAAAUAUUUAUCAACUUGGAAAAUUUUCUCAGUCAAUAGGAAAGGUGAAUUAUGAUAGUAGUGCACGUGAGACAAUGUUGUUGAGUAAUGUGUAGAGCAUUUGAUUGGUUAUUACAUUUCUUUAUUGAUAAUUCAGUAAGCACUUAAAAUGUGUCAUUUUCAGGCUCUAUGUUUCAGCUGUUGUGAAAGAUACAUAAAGAGGGUAGACCCAAAACACAUUGAAGAUAUCUGUACUCUCCUUCGUAGGAGGGCAAACAGUAGUUCCUUCCAACCGCAAGAAAUAGUUGAGACAAAGUUGUUAGAAGGGGCUUAGCAUAAGGUAAGGUAAGGUUAGGUAAGUCACUUCAGUUGUGUUUGACUCUAGGCGACCCCAUAGACGGCAGCCCAACAGGCCCCCACAUCCCUGGGAUUCUCCAGGCAAGA